GAUGAACGCUAGCGGCAGGCCUAAUACAUGCAAGUCGAACGAGACCUUCGGGUCUAGUGGCGCACGGGUGCGUAACGCGUGGGAACCUGCCUUUAGGUUCGGAAUAACUCAGAGAAAUUUGAGCUAAUACCGGAUGAUGUCUUCGGACCAAAGAUUUAUCGCCUUUAGAUGGGCCCGCGUUGGAUUAGCUUGUUGGUGAG
rnacentral:rRNA from 1 species